ensembl:miRNA Mir3473a microRNA 3473a
CCUGUUGAGCCAUCUCACCAGCCCAGAAAAUAUUUUUAAAAAGUGAAUUGUCUUAAGCUGGAGAGAUGGCUCAGCAGU